GCCGAAGUGGCGGAAUGGUAGACGCAGCGGACUCAAAAUCCGCCGGCCUUAAAACCGUGUGGGUUCGAGUCCCACCUUCGGCACCA
rnacentral:tRNA from 8 species